rnacentral:ncRNA from 1 species
AAAAAAGCUGUCAUCGGGAAAAGUAUAUAUGACGAUUCGAAUAAAGGAAUUUUACACCUUGACUGAAAGUGUAAUUGGAGAAUGCAUAUAGAAGUUCACCCCGUUAGCUGCCACCGGGACCAGCAAUUGCUGUAAAGGUGUGCCGGUGUAGAGCCGUUAGUCGAAUUGAGUGAUUGUACGUUUUUUGUACAAUAAUCAGGGUGGUACCGCGAAAUUAGUCCUCGUCCCUUUU